rnacentral:lncRNA from 1 species
UGGAGGAGGUGCUCCUAUCUCUCGUCAGUCAAAAAAGUGUCCGCAAAAACAUGGCGGAUUUUCACGUUUGCUGACGCCAUAUGGUUCCUCCGGCUCAUGGCAAUUACCACUGACCAACCGCGAUCCUAAGCAUCCGACAAGGACCUUCGCCCCCCUGUUUUUGCACAAAUAUUUUAUGUUUUCAAGACAAAAUCAUGCCGUUUUUCUCCACUUGUGGAUGCAAAAAUUCGCUGUAAAGACUUUAAAAGGAAGAAUAUUUCUUCUGAAAGGUAAGAUUUGUGAAAAUUUUAAGUUUUUACCUUUUAUUCGACUAAUUCUCGAUUGGCAAAGUCAGGGGCCGAUAUGCGUAUAAAAUCGAGGUAUAAAUAUGUAUUUGUCAAACUCUUAUAUUUUAUAUUUACACCAAUAUUUCUGGAGCAGACAUAAAAAAACGUUGUACAUGGUUAUUUAUACAUUGUGUACAUACAUUUUCUUUCUAGUUUCAGGCACUGGCUUUUGUUUUUAGUGCCAGUUUAUUAGUUUAACGUCUUUAAACAGCAUGCUGCUCAUGCAAUCUGUAGUUUGCUUUGUUUCAUAAAGAGCAGUUAGCACUAGAUUUAUAUACAGUAUAAACAAGCUGUAUUGUAUCCUUCACAAAUAUUAUAAACUGCUAGUCUUGCUACUUGCUAGGUUUUGUAUCAGCAUUUACCAAUUGGCUGUGUAAUUUAGGCUUUUUGUGGGGUUGUGCACUACAUUUCAGUUCAGCAUCGAGCUAUCAUCGAUUUGUGCAUACCCAAAUUUGCAUGAUUUAUACUUAUAUCAUUCUUGCAUUGGCAUUACCUUGAAUGCUAGUAUGGGUCAACCUGACAACCUCUAUGCCUCAUAAAAAUCUCCAAACAAAAAACCUCCUUCACUCAGAAAAUACCUCUGUCAUGGGAGUCUUGACUAAUAUUUAGCCAUAUUUAUUUAGGUCCCUUAGAGGUUAACCCAUUGAGUCACAUUGCACCCUACUUUAUUAUUUUACUCUGUCUGAUGCCAGAUGAUUUUACUCAUCAAGUAGAGAGUGCUGGUGCUUAAUGGGUUAAUAACUAGCCUGUGUCUAGUUAUGAGUCGCAUUGCACCCUGAUGCGCCCUUUACUCUGUCUAACGCCAGAUUAUUUUACUCUGCCUAACACCAGAUAAUUUUACUCAUCAAUUGGGGAGAGCGAUGGCUCUUAAUUCAGAUUUAUACAAGAUUAGUGGUGCACCAGAGCUAACACUUCCAAUCCAGCCACAGCUGUAACUUGCAAAGUAGGGGUGGUGGUCUGAGCUAACUGGCCAGAACCUACAGUAUGCACCCAUUGCAAUUAAUUUUGAAAUCUACAUGAAACAGUUUCACACCAUAGAAUAAAACAAUCAUAAACAAAGUAACUUUAUUUCUCAUUUCUAUUACAGGCAUUAAAGUGAUAUGUAAUUAUACAAGAACUGAAGCAAAAAUGUUCUUGAACUGAAGCAAAAAUAUCAUGAUAGUUAACAUUGAUGUAUAUGAUCUUAUUUGGGUGUAACAAUGUGUCUAAUACAGUAUCUGUAGUAGUAAUACAGUAUCUGUAGUAGUAAUACAGUAUCUGUAGUAGUAAUCUGUUAUCGCUACCAAAAGAAAAUUGAAAAGAGAUAAACAUUCCAAACAGCCAAAGUGAUGUCACAGCUCAUGGGACUACAAAGUGAUAAUUAUACUAGAAUAACUUGAUUAUACAGUUAGUUCAAACUGAUUGGGUCAUUCAAAAAAAUAUCCACACCCCUAAUGGAAGAGAUGGGAGAUUCAGCUUCCUCCCACUUUUGGACACCCUUAGCUAAUACUUUUACUAUUAUCAGCAGUUGAGUUCUGCCCACUUCAGACAGCACUUCAGACAUCUGUGGAGUUAGUGUUUAUCUUUUCUGGAAUGACUCAUUGGUGAUUGGUAGUUAAUAAUUAUUCAUUGAAGAAUUUAAAAUAAUACAAUUUCAACUGCAUCAUUGUGGUGGUAAAUAAUUCUGCAAUAAACAAG